rnacentral:misc_RNA from 1 species
UUUCCGUAGGUGAACCUGCGGAAGGAUCAUUAAAGAACGCCCCGUUUUUUGAAAUGGGUAAUUCUAAACCGUGUAUACAUACCUUUGUUGCUUUGGCAGGCCGCCCCUCAGGGCGUCGGCUCCGGCUGACUGCGCCUGCCAGAGGACCCAAACUCUUUUGUUUAGUGAUGUCUGAGUACUACAUAAUAGUUAAAACUUUCAACAACGGAUCUCUUGGUUCUG